ACUAAGUUUCAACAACGGGUCUCUUGGCUCUCGCAUCGAUGAAGAACGCAGCGAAAUGCGAUAAGUAAUGUGAAUUGCAGAAUUCAGUGAAUCAUCGAAUCUUUGAACGCACCUUGCGCUCCUUGGUAUUCCUUGGAGCAUGCCUGUUUGAGUAUCAUGAAAU
rnacentral:rRNA from 1 species